GGAGGCCUGGAGAACACGUGGCUUGUUGAUUCCGGUUGUUCGCGCCACAUGACCGGAAGUUCAAAAUGGUUCUCCAGCCUCGACCCCGUGCAAUGUAAGGAAUACAUCACAUUCGGGGACAAUAGCAAAGGUAAGGUGCUUUCUCGUGGGACCAUUCGAGUCAAUGAGAGUUUUGUCUUGGAGGAUGUUGUUUUGGUUUCAAAUUUGCAUUUCAAUUUGCUUUCGGUUUCGCAACUCCUUCAGGAUGGUUUUGAGGUGCGUUUUAAGACCGGCUUGUCUCGAGUUCUUGAUUCUCAGGGAAAUCUUGUUUGCCAGAUUGUCCCUUUUGGUCGUGUCUUUCGAGCUGAUUUUUCUCACUCUUUUGGCUCUUCUCGUUGUCUUGUGGCUGGAUCCUCUUCUGAUCUUUGGAAGUGGCAUAGGAGACUUGGUCAUUUGAGCUUUGACUUACUAGCUAGGUUGAGCUCACUUGACUUAAUCCGAGGAUUGCCCAAAUUGAAAUUUGAGAAGGAUUUGGUUUGUCACCCUUGUCGUCAUGGGAAGAUGGUUGCCGCUUCUCACCCUCCUGUGACUCAGGUCAUGACCAAGGGACCUGGUGAGCUACUUCAUAUGGACACAGUUGGUCCGGCUCGGGUUCGGUCAGAGGGAGGGAAGUGGUAUGUUCUAGUGAUUGUGGAUGACUUUUCUCGCUACUCUUGGGUGUUUUUCAUGGAGGGUAAGGAUGAGGCUUUUUCUCAUGUUCGAGAUUUGAUUCUUCGGUUACAGACUGAGUUGCCUAAGAAUGUCAUGAGAGCUAUGCGCAUUGACAAUGGCACAGAAUUCAAAAAUACUCAGUUUGAUACCUUCUGUGCUUCUUUGGGUCUCGAGCACCAGUUUUCCUCUCCUUAUGUCCCCCAGCAAAAUGGUGUUGUUGAGCGCAAAAAUCGGACUCUUGUUGAGAUGGCCAGGACAAUGCUCGAUGAGCAUAGGACUCCUAGGAGAUAUUGGGCCGAGGCGAUCAACACCGCAUGUCAUGUCUCAAAUCGCGUUUUUCUUCGACCCUUCUUGAAAAAGACUUCUUAUGAGUUGCGAUUUGGUAGACUACCCAAGGUAAGUCACUUCAGGGUGUUUGGUUGCUAGUGUUUCAUCCUGAAGCAAGGUAAUUUGGACAAAUUUGAGUCCAGGUCCUCCGACGGUAUUUUUCUUGGUUAUGCUUCUCAUUAUCACAUAUCGUGUACUUAACCUUGAAACUAACCGAGUCGUGGAGACCUGUGAGGUCACAUUCGAUGAGACUAUGCCUUGUUCUUCUCCUGUCUUUGAAUGUGCAGGUGAUCAGGAGAUUGGUGAGAGCAUCUUUGUUGAGGAUGAUGCAGAAGAUGCCGAUUGGGGUGAUCCUGAGCCGACACCACUGGCUGCCCCUCUCACGUCUUCGACGACUACUUCGGCUGACGGCCCCGAUCCUUCUUCUUCCACUACUUGGGGUCCGGUCGAGCAGCCUGCUCAGCCUACAUCGGCUGUCCCUGAGGAGGCCCCAGCUGCAGUUGAGGGGGAGGCGACUUCUUCAAGGGAAGCACCUCGACACAUUCAGCGUCGCCAUCCACCUCAGACCAUGAUUGGUGGAAUUGACUAGCGAGUCACGCGGUCCAGGUCAUAUCACAUCUCACACUUCGCUCAUUCUGCUUUUGUUGCUUCUUUUGAGCCUUGAGAUGUUGGACACGCACUAUCUAAUUCCAAUUGGGUUAAUGCUAUGCAUGAGGAGCUAGAAAAUUUUGAGAGAAACAAGGUUUGGGUUUUAGUACCACUUCCACCAGAUUGCCAUCCCAUAGGUACCAAGUGGGUUUUCAAAAACAAAUAGAGUGAAGAUGGGGUGGUAGUGAGGAACAAGGCUAGGUUGGUAGCUUAGGGUUUUUGUCAAAAAGAGGGGAUAGACUAUGAGGAAACCUUUGCCCCUGUUGCCCGUCUAGAAGCCAUUAGGAUCCUUUUAGCUUUUGCAGCUUCAAAAGGGUUCAAGCUGUAUCAGAUGGAUGUGAAGAGUUCUUUCUUGAAUGGGUAUAUAGAGGAAGAGGUUUAUGUGAGACAACCCCCUGGUUUUGAAAAUCCUAAGUUUCCUAACCAUGUUUUUAAACUCCACAAAGCCUUGUAUGGUCUAAAACAAGCCCCGAGAGCCUGGUAUGAGCGUUUGAAAGCCUUCUUGCUUGCAAAGGAUUUUAAAAUGGGUUCUAUUGAUAAAACUUUGUUUCUCCUCAAGCAAGGCACUAACACUCUUUUGGUUCAGAUAUACGUGGAUGAUAUCAUUUUCGGUGGCUCUUCUCAUGCACUUGUUGGCAAGUUUGCAGAAACUAUGAGCAGAGAAUUUCAGAUGAGCAUGAUGGGCGAGUUAACGUUCUUUCUUGGUUUGCAAAUCAAGCAAACUAGAGAAGGGACGUUUGUGCACCAAGGCAAGUACACCAAGGACGUACUCAAGAAAUUCGAUAUGGGCGAGGCCAAGCCUCUCUCGACGCCCAUGUCGACCACGACGGCCCUAGAUGCAGAUGAAGAAGGAGAAGUUGUGGACCAGAAGGAGUACCGAAGCAUGAUCGGGUCGCUACUGUACCUGACGGCGACAAGACCGGACAUCCAAUUCGCGGUCUGCUUGUGUGCGCGCUUUCAGUAUUCACCGCGCACAUCUCAUCGUCAAGCCGUCAAGCGGAUCUUGAGGUACCUUCGUUUCACACCAGAGCUUGGUCUUUGGUUUUUAGCUUCCUCCUCUCUUUCUCUUUGCGGCUAUUCUGAUGCGGAUUAUGCCGACUGUCGUGUUGAGCGCAAGUCCACGUCGGGGACUUGCCAGUUUCUUGGGACUUCUCUUGUGUCUUGGUCCUCUCGCAAGCAAUCCUCUAUUGCUCAAUCCACCACAGAAGCCGAGUAUGUUGCUGCUGCUGCUUGCUGCUCCCAGUUGCUUUGGAUGAUAGCCACUUUGAGAGACUUUGGGUUAGAGUUUAGGCGAGUGCCUUUGCUUUGUGGUAGCACCAGUGCCAUAAGCGUUGCUAAAAACCCAGUCCUCCACUAAAAAACCAAGCAUAUAGAUGUCCGCUUUCACUUCCUGCGUGACCACUAUGAGAAAGGAGAUAUUGACCUACACCAUGUUGAUACCCAAAACCAGCUUGUAGACAUCUUUACCAAACCCCUUGACCAAGCCCAGUUUGCUCGCUUGCGAGGGGAGCUUGGAGUUUGUUUCCCUUUUUAGUUGAGGGGAACUUUGGUUUUUGUACUCUAGUUUUGUUUUCUUUUAGUUUAGCUUUUAUUUUAUUUUAUUUUUGUACCAUAUUGCAUUGCAUUUCAUCUCAUCAUGUAUAUUAGAGCAUUUUGAGCUUCAUGAUUAUAGUUGUUAGAUUGAGAUUAUGCUCUUUGUGAUAUGUCUUGUAUGUACAUGAUGGUGCUUGUCGCUUAGGCUCUUUUUGAUCACUUGAUGCAUGUUAUGAGUUAAGCUGUUUUACAACUUGUGAACUUGACAUAAACCUGUUGAAAUCUGAAAAUUGUUCACCAUUGUCUUUGGCAACUAGCAUGUGUAGGAUGUGUUGAGAUCACUUGAGCUAUCAUUUAUAUGCUAGGUUGCUAUGUCUCUUGCUUUGAGUUAUACACUUGCUUGGACAACUUGUAAAUUCUUGUGCUAAAAAUUGAAAAUCAAGCUAAGUGAAAAGAAAAGAUCGAGAUGGGUCUGUACUGUCCUACGUCAAGGUAUCGAGACUGCUUCCAAUUGCACUUAUGGAUGAACUUGAGCCUUGUAGUGGAUGCCGAGAUCAUUGUCUUAAGCUUGCGAUUGUCUCUGACAUAGGCUUGACAUGGUCGAUAAGUUGGUUUGAUGGUACAGAUAACCUCUCGCACUCACACAUGUUUUUGACUAAACCUUGUGAUAUGCUGCAAACUCCGAUAAAAUGAAAAUUUGAUGAAAACACAAGUCUAAAGUUAGUCUUUGACAUGAUGUAUGAACGCUGCUUGGGGUAGUUCACCUUGUAUACACUUGAUUAGCACUAGGUUGAUUUCCUGCUUAUACCUGCUAUGUGCUACUUUCAGUGGUGAACUCCUUCUUACAGUUGCUUAAAAUUGAUCAAAAAUGCUUAAAUGCCAUAUUUCGUUUCACUUGAUUAGUUUGAGCAUUUGCUAGCACUUGUACUUAUUGCUAUACACACAUGACAGCACCACCUAGAGCAUCUUUUCAAUUUGAUUGCUAUACUCCUGAAGCUUUUAUAUAUGUGCAUUUUUUGCAUUCAUAGCAUGUUUUGAGGGGGAGUUGCACUCCUUGGAAAAUCUUGAUAAGUGCAUGUGUCAACAAGGGGGAGAAAGUUACAUACAAAAAGAGAGACAUGCAUUCAUUUGAGAGAGAUUGCAUUUGCUUAGGGGGAGUUGCAUUUGAGUUGCUUUUGCUAGAUGUGUUGAGCCUUUGCCUCUUCUGGAGGGUCUAGUUGUUUUCUGGCUUUUCAAGUUUUGCUAGCGGUGUUGAGCCCAUUGUCUCUUCUUGAGAGCUAGCUUUGUGGUUCUUGAUCGUGUCGAGCCUUUGCCCAUGUCUUUGGGGAUCAAGUUUUGUUCAUUUGAAAUGACCCGUUUCUGGCUUCUCUUUGGCUUUUGGUCGUUUCGGUGAACUCUUUGCUUUUUCCUUCUUUUUCUUUUCUUUUGCUCAAGCUGUUCGUGUGAGGAUGUUGACAAUGCACUCAUCAAGGGGGAGAUUGCGAACACAAGGUCGAGAAGUACCCUUGUGGUACGUUUUAUGAUGAGUGAUUGUCAACGUGAUCCACGAAUAGGUUGAGUUGGUGACUAACAUUACCAUGGCGAAAGCUAUGUGUGUGACAUGUCUCUUGGCUUGUGGUGUUCAGCUGUGGAGCUCGGAGGCGGUGGUCGACGGCGAGGUGAAGGUCAAGUAGAGACGUGCCAUGCCAAUGGACAGGGAGCGGUGAAAGGCGGACGUGAGGCUUGGACCGACGGACCAGGAGGCCGGAUGACCAGCUGCGGUGGCUGACAUCUGGGACAUCGACAAGUGCAAGCGUACAUGGGAGUGACCGUGUUGACCAAGUCAAGACGGCGGACACGAGUUGAGCGAGGCUCUGGAGGACUUAGCGGGCCGGUCGGUCGAGGACGGCGGUGACACGUGUCGAGUGGCGGGGAAGCGUAUAGAGUACGCUACUCGCGGCGGGUUUCGCGGGUUUGGACCUCAAAACCCGGGCGGAGGUUCCAAGGCGGAACGGACGACACGUGGCGGCAUCGGUGAGAUCGCUUCGAAGCGAGGCUACCGGUGAGGAGGCGUGGUGGCCGUCGGAUUUAGGUCAUAUCGAGUUGGACUAGAAUGCCCCUGGGGCUAGCUAGUUCGCUCAAAAAUAUCUAGAGAUAUUUGGGGAAUAUGUAAUAUGCCUGAUAAAUAAACCGGGAGAGUUCCCCAUCUCCCCAUCUCUCCCCCACCUCUCUUUCCACCCCUCUUCCUCCUGUUUACCCGUAGGUGCUCUCUCCUUAGCUGGUUCUUGUGUAGAGGUCCAAAAACCAGAAAUUUGUGAUUGUUUUCUUCUGUGUUUUUGUGUGGGAAAGGAGGCCCGAAUCCACCACGUGUCCUCCGGGAUUCAUCACUUUUAUUUGUGAUUUUUGUUCAGUGUUCUUGUUUUUCCCCAUUUUUCGUUCUUGGCUAUAAUCUAAAUUUCCCAGAGUUUGGGUUAAUCCUAGGCGAUGAUUCUUUGGGGAUGAGUUUGUGUUAGGGUGUAUUUCAUCUGUGCCAAGUCUGAGAAUGAUUCGUUUUGUUUUGGUGAAGAUCCAAUCGUUUUCGUUCUGGGAGAUGUGCUGUUCAUAGCGCUUAGUCGUGCUCUGUUCUUGGGUUUAGGCUUCUGUUCGUGCGGUCAAGACCUACGAGUGGAUUUGGUUCGUCCGCUCGGUUCCGACUGGUGUGGCUCGUAGGGCGUGAGCAGAUCGACACCGUGUGCUGUUCCUCAGCUGCGACCCCAAGAACGAGCAGUUCAGUGUCCCCUUCUGCUGCCGCUCGAGCAGUCAAGAGCAAGAGCAGUAUUUUGCGUCAUUGGAUCUUAGCUUCCUGCAGUUGUCUAAAUCAUGCAUUAG
rnacentral:lncRNA from 1 species